GUGGGAAAGGGGUUAGUUCAGGAGGUGAGGAGAGAUGGAUCCAAAUACUGGUUCACCAGUCAGGGCUGUGAUCCUUGCGCAAAUUACUUAAAUCCUUAAGCCUUAGAUUUAUUAUCAUCAGUAAGAAACAAAGACAACAAUCACAACGAAAAACCAACUAAACUCCUUUCAUAGGAUUGUUAUAAAGAUGCAUUGAUUUAUUUAACUGGUGGUUACUGGGUGCCUCCUAAGUGUCAGGCACAAUGCUGGAGACGAGCCACUUGACCGGGAACAAAAUCAAGCAGGACCUCUGCACACGAUCAGAAGCAUACAAAACGGCGUGUAGAAUUCCUUCAGGGGGAGGUACCACAAGGGAGAAAAAUAGGCUCUUCGGCUAGAUUGACUUGAAAUGGAUUUAGAGCUUCAAUAUGAAGGAUGAGUAGGGAAUGCGAAAUGAAGAGAAAUCCCAGUAGAGAGAGAACAGUGUGUGCAAAGACCAGAUGGAGGUGUGACUGGAAGAAGACCAAUCAGGCUACAGAAGAAAGAGUGAGGAGCAACUGCUACCAGCUGGGACUGGAAACAGAAAAAGGACUUGGACCUACUGUAUAUAUGCCAGCCACAGCGAGUACAUAAAUGAAAAGAAGCAAUGCUUUUCUAAACGUCUAUUUGGGAAGGAGAUCUGCAGGCAAAGAAACGGAAUACAGUGUAACAAUUAUAGUGAAGGUAUGUCCAUGUGUACUGUAGGAGGAAAGACAAGAAAGUGCAUCAUUGGCUUGAGGAAGUUAGAUCAGGCUUGGCAAAGAAGGUAACGAAUAGUUGUCUCUUAAGUGUUGAAAGGGGGUAAGUGCAUUUCCACCAAAACACAGAUACGGGUAUGGUGUGUUCAUGGAAUGUGCCUGUAAUUCUUCAUAAAAUCAGAGCAAUUAUGUCUGCAUAUACGUGAAGUAUGAGUAUCGUAUUGGUUAAGGUUCAGUUGCAGAAAACAGAAACCAUCUUGAGCUAGUUUAAAUAGAAAGAGAUUUAACACAGGGAAUUGGGUGCUUUCAAUAUGUUAGAAGAGCUGGAGUAUAGGCUCUGGGCUAAGCUUCCAGGAGUGAGUCCCCAAAAAACACCAUAGAACUGGUCUGCCAAGGGGGUUGAAUCCUGUGCCAAGACCAACAAGUGUGGGACAUUUCCUUCAGCUUGGGAAUCAGAAAGCUGCUGCCUAACUCUUGGUGCCAGCACACACGGCCUCAGUAGCCAUCCAUGGGCCAGAAAGCCACCGCCAGAACCGUUGGUUCUAAAAUCACACCUCCUGUCAUCCCCACCAACAGAAUGGGUUCAGACUCUUCUUAACAGCCAUGGAGCGAGGGACCAGUCACUAUAACUUCUGCUCUGUGUUUGUAGAAAUCUAAGCACAUCUACCCCGAGGUUUGCCAGCAGAAAUGCCUGCAGCAGCGGAAGAGAGGCCUCUGUCUCCUUCUGCUACCCAAGUCUAAGCCACCUCUGGGUCUCGAUCACAUUUGGAAUAGCUGCAGGGGAGUCUGAGAAGCGUCAUUUUAGCUUCCUGACUUUGCAUUUUAAGAAGGUACACUAAAAAGGGUUAAAAGCUUAUGGAGGGAGUUAUUCUGCAGCAACUACCGCAUAGCAGUAUCUGCUAGAUUGGUGGUAGAAAAAUAAACGGAAAUACACACCCAGAAUUCUUCAUCUACGAGUACUGAUAUCUUCAGUGUAAUCACCUUCACAUAUUAUGUACUGUUUUUUUAAAUGCUGUCUCUUUUUUUAGACUCCUAUCUUGGAUUUGUUUCCAGGGCUUGUUUUCUUCAUUGAAUAGUAUUGAUUGUGAUGAAUGUUUGCCUAUUGAAAGUGAAUUUGAAUACUGGAAAGACUAUUAAAUCAUGAUCAAUAAGGUAGGUUGCCAUGCUGAGUAAUACUGUUUAGAUUGAAAACAUUCACCAAAAAAUACACUUUCAGCCAGAGCAUUGUCAUCGUGAAGAAAACAGUCCUUGUGUGGUCGUUCAGGCCAAGUGCCUCACCGCUGACUCCCUGCAACGCUUCAAUCAUUAACUCAGGUAUUUGUUGAACAUUUAACGUGUGCAAUGGCUCUUCAAUGUGCUACGGCAUUUAGAAGUUAUAUUUAUGAGUUUUAUAGCUCUUUUACACUGUAGCUUCCUGUAGAUUAUCUUAUUUAAUAGGCAUAACCAGUUUAUUUUUCAAAAAGAAACUGAGACCCAGAGACUUUAUUGUUAAGAAUGCCAACCAAAAUAAAUAGCUCCAUUGGAUAUUUUAUUUUGUGAAAUUAAUUCAGUGUGAACAAUACCAUUCAUAUUCCUAAACUGACACAAUUUUGUUUUUACUUGUGAUUUUUGACAUAUAUGGUUUCUGGAGUGUGUUCGACAUUAGAAAAUUCUGAUGAGGAUCUUGAGUGUUGACCAGCUUCUUUGGAAGGAUUUUUAUGAAAGGGAUACCUUACAUUUUCAUUUUCCUCAAAAUACAUUGAACAACGUAUUUCUCUCAUUCAAGAUUAUAAGAAUCCGCUUUAUAAAGCACACAGUAAACAUUGUUGUUGUUUUCGAGAUGCACCCACACAUUUAAUUAUGGCAAAGCUGUUGCUGCAUAUAUAAUUUUAAUUGCUAAAGAUGAUAAGGAUUUCGUAUUCCAUUGAGUCCACCUCUAUUCUUUUGUCUUUUUGCACUACUCUUACUCACUGUUGUUAUUUACCUAUUUUACUAAAAGGGACAAAACAUGGAUGAGUAUUUUUUUUACAUUUUGAUAAAUUCUAACUUUUUCUAAGCAAAUAUUUAAAAACUGAAUUUACCUGCAUACUGUCCUAUUUUUGAUCAUUUCUAACUGAUUUUUUCACUAUUAGCAAUUUUUUAAACUUAAAAGUUGAUAUAAUUCUAGUUAGGCAAUUUCUGAACCUUUCUUUUCUUGGUAUAAAGUACCAAAAAAAAAAAAA